CGAUUAGCAAUGGCUUGUGGUCAGUGAGUGAAUCGUCGACCCAACAAGUACUUGUGGAACUUUGUUACGCCAUAGGUCAGCGCGAGUGCUACCUUUUCGGACUUUCCAUAAGCUUGUUCUGCCUGGGCGAGCGAUCUCGAUGCGUGCUGAAUUGCCUUCAUGUGUCCAUUGGCAAAUUCGUGGAAGAUCACUGCACCGAUGCCCGUGCUGGAAGUGCCCGCCACUACGAUGAUUGAGAAACGACGCUUGCAUAUGUCACACUCAAAAUUCUGGUCUUCUUUAUGAGCGCGCUUAUGGUACUGCAAACGUACAGCUGUGUGGAAUGUGGUGCUGCAGAUAUCACAGGCAAAAGGUCGUUCCCCGAUUUCACAAAUGUGCUUUUUCGGUGGUUGAUCAACUAUAAUUGUUUUGCGCUUUAUCGGCUUACUGCAACAGAAUGAAAAAAAUAUUCUUAAAAAAUAAAUAAAUAAUGUUGCUCGUCGUUGCCACUGGUUUUGAUACAAAACUUUUGAAAUAUGUACUGAAAAUCGAGGUUGUUAAUCGAUAAUUUAUCGUAAACGCCGAUAACGAUACCGUCUGUUAUCGUUAUCGACGAUGACGCUUACGUCUUCAGACAUUAUCGUCAUUGUCAAUGACGAUAGCUACUGGACGGUAUCGAAUCAAUAACGUUUGUUUAUUACCAUCCACUGCAAUACCAUCUUUUGCUUUAUUAGUUAUAUCAUUUAGAUACAUUUCAAAUGCAAAUAUGACAAUGCUACAUACCUUACUAUUCGAAUUUGUGCUUUAAAAAGCGCCUCAUAAGCUAGAACAAUCAAAACUGAGAAAUUUAUUUUCCUGAUGAGAAGCGAAACAUAAACAAAUAAGGAUAAGUUUCUUCCUGUUGCCUAGUGAUGUUUCGUCCAGGGGGAAUCUAUCUGUCAAAUAUCGUGAAACCGUGACCAACACAUUUGGCAAC